rnacentral:lncRNA from 1 species
GGGGAGAAGGCAUGGAAGUGGGAGAGAUCAUCUAGGAAAGAGAUCUCAAAGAGAUUACAAAGGAAAUCUUCCAUAAGCACAAAAGGGCCAUCCAAAGCGAAAUAGAGAGAAGAAGAGCAUCCAAGAGAAUCCCAAAGCUUCCUCUCCAUCCGUGUGCUGCCUCAGUGAUCCUCUACCUCGUGCCAAAUCAGAAGAGGGUCAAGUAAAGAAGAAGCCGAGCUCCUCCAUCUUCAAAACUCGUUUGAGGGCUUCUCUUUACUCUAUUUGUUUAUAUUGUUAUAUUUGCUUGCUUAAGAAGC